AAUGUGAUGGAUUGCUGGACUGAAUCGUCUGUCUAUAUGCAAAACGUAAAAAAUAUUAUGUGAGGUGAUUAUUUGGCUAUUCAGGAAAUAAUCUAAACUUCUAACUAGUACUAAGAAAUGGCGUCUCGCUUCAGCGGUGCCCUCCAGCUCACCGAUCUCGACGAUUUCAUUACUCCGUCGCAGGAAUGCAUAAAACCAGUAAAGAUUGAGAAGCCAAAAACUAAAACUGGUUCGAAAAUCAAGAUAGGGGCAGAUGGAUACUUUGAUAUCAGUGAAGGGAGAGAGCAGAAGCUUCAAAAGGUGGAGAUCACCUUGGCUGACUGUCUCGCCUGCAGCGGAUGUAUCACUUCAGCGGAGAGUGUAUUAGUCACCCGGCAGAGUCAGGAGGAGUUGCUAAAGGUGUUCUCCGAACGCAAACACACAGACAGCAAAGGCGUGACCCAAGAUGUGAGCGUGAUAGUGAUCUCACUUUCUCCGCAACCCGUGUUGUCGCUCGCCGCGCGCUACAAGCUCGAACCCGAAGAGGCGGCUAGCAGAUUAGCAGGUUACUUCAAGAAGCUAGGUGCAGACUUGGUCUUAGACAUGACUGUGGCUGAAGACCUGGUGCUGCUUGAAGCGCAGCAGGAGUUCCUCCAGCGGUAUCAGAACCAGCAGCACGAGCCCACGGCGCGUCAUCUACCCAUGCUGGCCAGCUCCUGCCCAGGCUGGGUAUGCUACGCCGAAAAGACCCACGGCUCCUUCAUCCUCCCCCACAUCUCGACCACCAAGUCCCCUCAGCAGACCAUGGGCUCACUCGUGAAGCAGCUCCUCGCGCGGCGCCGCGAGGUGAGCCCCGGCGCGGUGUACCACGUCACGGUGAUGCCGUGCUAUGACAAGAAGCUCGAGGCGUCCAGGGACGACUUCUAUAGCGACCUCACCAACUGCCAUGACGUCGACUGUGUCAUUACUGCCAUCGAGUUGGAACAGAUGUUGGGCCCCGCCGAGCUAGGAGACGCGCCCCCGUCGGCCCUCGACUGGCCGUGGGGGCACGCGCCGGGCGCGGGGCUCCGCAGGCACAUCGGCACCGGGUCGGGGGGCUACGCGGACCACAUCUUCCUGUACGCUGCUGAACAGCUGUUUGGAGAGACCAAGGCGGACCUGGUUUAUAGGAAUUUAAGGAAUCCUGAUUUUCGGGAAGUGACCCUUGAAAAAGACGGCGUAGAAGUUCUUCGGUUCGCGAUCGCCAACGGGUUCCGUAACAUACAGAACCUGGUGCAGAAGAUGAAGCGCGGCAAGUCGCAAUACCACUACGUUGAGGUCAUGGCGUGUCCUUCAGGUUGCCUGAACGGCGGUGCGCAGGUGCGGCCCGUGGCGGGCGAGAGCGGGCGCCAGCUGGUGGCCGCGCUCGAGCAGCUGUACCGCGGCCUGCCCGUGUCCGUGCCCGCUGACAACAAACUGGCUCGGAGGUAAUGAUAAUGUUCGCAGGUUGCCUGCACGGCGGUGCGCAGGUGCGGCCCGUGGCGGGCGUGAGCGGGCGCCAGCUGGUGGCCGCGCUCGAGCAGCUGUACCGCGGCCUGCCCGUGUCCGUGCCCGCUGACAACAAACUGGCUCGGAGGUAAUGAUAAUGUUCGCAGGUUGCCUGCACGGCGGUGCGCAGGUGCGGCCCGUGGCGGGCGAGAGCGGGCGCCAGCUGGUGGCCGCGCUCGAGCAGCUGUACCGCGGCCUGCCCGUGUCCGUGCCCGCUGACAACAAACUGGCUCGGAGGUAAUGAUAAUGUUCGCAGGUUGCCUGCACGGCGGUGCGCAGGUGCGGCCCGUGGCGGGCGAGAGCGGGCGCCAGCUGGUGGCCGCGCUCGAGCAGCUGUACCGCGGCCUGCCCGUGUCCGUGCCCGCUGACAACAAACUGGCUCGGAGGUUAUACACGGAGUGGCUCGACGGGCGGGACUCCGACAAGGCGCGAGCGAUGCUGCACACGUCCUACCACGCCGUUGAAAAGUCCGACGUCGCGCUCAACAUCAAGUGGUGAACUUAAACUUUAAGUAUACCGUGCUAAAGUCGUAUUUGCCUUGUGAGACUACUUCCGUCGUAAUUCGAUCGCGUUCAAUCGUAAGUGAUGAUACUGAUGAUUUAUACUUUAAGCCCCUUAUUCAUAAACGUCUACUAAAGUUACGAAGUAUUGGUAUGUUGGAAAGGGACAAACGAUUACUAGCGGCAUCGUAACUUUAGUAGACGUUUAUGAAUAAGGGGGUAUGUGUAUAAUACUAGAGUUCAAUUUACAUUGGACGCAAUGUGUUGAUUAUAUCGUUAUCUCAUGUGGCGUGGCACCGUGUUAAUUUAUACCUUAAUCUUGCAGUGUUAAAAUCGGUUUUGCUUUGUAAGCAAGGUUUGCAAUAUCCUCAGAACAACAUCAGUGGUGGAUUAGACUUUAAAUUCAAGUGAUAAAGUCGAGUUUACUUUGUAAGUGGAGUGUUGACAUAGUGGAAAGGUUGUUUGUAUCAUAAAUGUGAUACCAAUUGGUAGCAGAAAUGCUACCGUGUGACUGUUUCGAUUCCGCCACUACGAGAAUCCAAACAGAUUGCUAAAAUAACACAUUGUGUUGAUGAUUGAAUUAUAAUAUUUGUAACUGAUACUUGUAUAUCUGUCCGAGACAGAGUAAUUUUACUACUGACAGCUAAUUUGGUGAUACUGUACUGAAAAUAGUAAGUAUACCCAAAAUAAGAAUAUCGAUACUAGCGAUGUAUAAAUAAAAAUAACUUAAUAUACCUAAGUUUUUUCUUUCUCAUAUUAUUAGUAAAACAAUUGGCCAAGUGUGAAUCGGACUCGCGCAAGAAGUGUUCCGUACCAAAAUGAAAAAAAGGGCAAAAAAAUCACGUUUAUUGAAUUGGAGCCCCACUUGAAUAUUUAUUUUAUUCUGGAUUUAGUAUUUUUUGUUAUAGCGGCAACAAAAAUACAUCAUCUGUGAAAAGUUCAACUGUCUAUCACAGUUCAUGAGAUACAGCCGGGUGACAGACAGGCGGAAAGUGGAGUCUUAGUAAUAGAGUCUCCUUUUUACCCUUUGGGUAUGGAACCCUAAAAAGAACCGCUUGUUUUUCGGUGUUAAUAAGGCUAAUUAAAAUUCGACCUUAAACAAAGUGAGUGAAGGUUUACAAUCAAAACAAGAUCAACGUAGGGCGAUUACAUUAGGGCCCCUUUUACGUCGCGUGUUUAACGGUUGUGUACACUUGUGUUACAUAAGUUACAUGCAAAUUAGGUUGAGUAGGGGCGUGUUAAAGGGCAACACGUGUCAUUUCACCAAUUUCAACUUAGGGAAAAAAUCUAAUUAUUUUAUUAAAUAUUUUGAUUUGUAUUUUUAGGGCUCAUUUGACGGCACGCAAACUCGCAUGCGAGUUUAAUUACAUUGCGGUAUUUGAUCGGUCUGCUGAAUUGGAUGUAACCUCAAUAGUCCGCAAUGAAACUUAAAUCGCAUGCGAGUUUGCGUGCCGUCUAAAUGAGCCCUUAAGUCGUUAAUAUUUUUAUACAUAAAUUGUAAACUGAAAUAGAUCUCUAAAAAUGUAUGACAGAGGGCUAGGUCUAGGGUAGGUAGGACUUCUUUUUUUCAAAGUUGAAAGUUUUUUUAUUAUACGUAAGAAUCAGGUUAGGGUAGGUAAACAUCGUGAGGAAACAGGACUAAUCCCAACAAGGCCUAGUUUACCCUCUGGUUUGGAAGGUCAGAUAGUAGUCGCUUUGCUAAACUAGUGCCUACGCCAAAUCUUGGGAUUAGUUGUCAAGCGGACCCCAGGCUCCUAUAAGCCGUGGUAAAAUGCCGGGACAACGCGAGGAAGAAGUAAAAAAAGAAGAAGUAAGAAUCAGGUUACAAGUAUUGCUGGUCGAAUAUACAAUAACACAUUCAGUUACACUGAGACUUUACCAUUUUACGUGUACAUACACUUACAACUUUAUUGCACAACGUCAGAAUAAAUGUACAUGAAAACACAUAUAACGCAUGAAAAUAGAGGUAAACAACAGGCGGGCUUAUUGUGUUAUUUAUGUACAUAUGUACCUACUUCAAAUACUUAUGAGUAACUUAGAUAAUCAUUAAUACAGUUAAAAAAAUCUAUAAGCCACCUUUAUUUGUUCGAGUUGAAUAGAGUUUGAGAUGCAUAUCUUUAAAACAAUUAGGUAUCUUGUUAUAAUUUAAAACGAUUAGGUAAUUUGUGAUACACAUAAUAUACCUAGGCGUUUAUUGCAGUAAGUGACAAGUUUACAUGGCUUAGGUAAUCUAUGUUUAUAUUUAGGUCUUUACUGUUUUUCGACAUCUAUUUCAGUGUGUAAUUUGAAAAAAAUGUUUGUAAUAGUUGGCAAUUAUUUAAAAUAAUACACUUUUAUUUAUAAGACUCAAAGUAAAGUCUAACAGAAAUUGCAAAUAAUUUAAACAACUGGCACAAUUUGUUAGCAUCUGACGUAUAACCUUAAAGUUUUAUGAUGGUUGUUUUCAUUGAAAUAUUAAUGUUAAGUAGUAAUUGAUAUAAUUAAAAGUUUAUAUCCUUAAAAACUGUUGAUAAAAUCAUGGUUGCCCACAAAAAGUACGAUUACGAAGAAAUGAAGGUAAAUAGGUUUGUUUACAUUAUUUGCAGUUUCUAUUGGAUUGCACUUUGCACUCUUAAUAAUGUUAUGGGCUCACUCAAUAAUGUCAGGGACUCACUAAAUAAUGUCUUGGACUCACUAAAUAAUGUUAUCUACUCACUAAAGUAUUCGUUUAUUUUAUAACUCAAAUCUCAAUGCAAAUAAAACUCAGUAACUUGUUCCAGCCUGUUUUAGGCACGUCAUAUGCGUAAUAUCAAAUGGGUAUUAUAAUAUUGUGAAAUUGUUUUAAAUGUUAAUAAAGUUGGUGAUACUUUUGUUUAAAUGAAGCACGCCAUAAACUCGUUAAACGCGUGUAUGAAUAAUAGGUAAAGUACUCAAUAAUUGACCCCUUAAAUGACGUAAUUUAAAUGGCGUAAGUCAUAGGCCAUUUAAGGGGCCAAUUCUUUGGGGGCUGAAACAAGUUUAUUCAAUGUCACUUAUAAUAGGUAUAAAUGUUAUGUAUAUUUUGUUUGUGAUACAAUUGAUUGUUAUGAGAAAAUGAAAUAUAUAAUAUGACUUGUUUAA